AAUAUCUCACAGUGGAGGAGCGCGGAGACUGUUCGCACAGCAGCCCAGCGAAAACGUCACCCGACUGGAGGUACGAACGCUUUGCAGACUGGGGGCGCCCAAGCGCAUCCCAGACGCGAGGGCAAAGGUCCAGGAGGGCUGUGGGGCUCUCGGAAGUAUCCGAUCACCUUGAGAGGAGUCCGCCGGGUGUCCGAGCCUGAUGUCACUGCACCUUCGAUUCCUCCGACGCCCCUGCCCUUACUUCCCAGUCUUCCGGCAACUUCUCCCCUUUGGCCUCCCGUAGGCCUUGCCCCCAGGGAGGGGACGCGCUCCACAGGUGGAUUCGCACGUGUGGACCCUCGGCAGCACUUUCUCGUGCAAAUUAACAAGUGGCCCUCAGGGUGGAAGCACCGCCCAGCCUUUCCUGGGGAGGUCACCAGGGAGCCCGAGCCCUGGGAAGGGACACCAAGGCACUCCCGGGACUCCGGAGAAGGACAACAGCCCCAACACAGAGUACUCGGCCAUCCAACCGCCCUUACCCAAGCGGAGAAUCUCUCUCCACCUCCGCCCUGCCGGAACUCAAAGUUGUUUGUCAGAGGAGCCGCCAGGUUUCCUUGUAGGUGGGCAAGAUAUGCACUGUGCGCGCGGGCGCGCGCACACACACACACACACACACACACACACACACAAGUAUAUAUAUUUUUCCAGUUGCCACUGCAGGACUGCCAGCUUUCGGAAAUAAGCAUCCGCUCCCUCUCCCGGGACUGGGCGUGGGGUUACCGAGAGGAGAGGAAGAGACCUUGCGUUUGCGCUGGGCCUGCUCGGUGCCAGGCCAUCCCAGGCUUCUGUCUAUCCUGGUUUCUGGUCUGUGCGUUGUGGGUAGCAGCAUUGGCGUGUUGCGCCGGAGGGAGCAGGCUGAGCGAGGCUCCAGAAGGUGCGCAAUAGCCGGAGAGGAAAGGGCGAUGCUGUCACCUGGCCCCCUCCCUGAGACUCCAUCCAGCCCAGAAAAAGGAGCUGCUUUCUCCCCCACCUACCCCAGGAGAAAAUAAACGGUCGCUGGUUUUUUCCUGCGUCUUUUAAUUUUGACAGAACUGUUUUGGGUCGGCUAUUGUGGGCCGGGAUGGAGGUCUUCUCCUGCCAGGAGCAACCCUGCCCACACCCAGGCCGGCAGUGGAGUAAGCCUUGCCCCAGCCUGCCCUCCCAGGAAACAAUGCCCCUUUGUCGCUCGCCCUCCCGGGGCUGAUCCAGCCCCUCCCCUUAGCUUAGGGCUCCCUCCCAUUAGAGCAUUCCAAUGAUAGCCACAAGUCACACUCUUCUUUGAGGUCUCUGCGAAGAAAACAAAGCAGCCCUCCUAAACACACGGAGGGAGUGGAACUUUUCCUGUCCUCUGACUAUGUGCCAGCCUUGGCUCCUCCCUGAAGCCCUGUCGAGAGGGCUUAUUAGGUCACUUAUGUUUUGUACCUCGCGUGAAGUCCCACAAUCAGUAGAUUAUAGAGGGGGGCACAAACCCAGCAAAGUCUGACAUAGAGAAAUUACACAUACACACAUACAUACAUACAUACAUAGUCUUUCCACCACCCAGGAUUGAAAAUUAAUGCUGUUUUUGGCAUUGUCCCUUAUCCACCCAAGCCCUCCACAAGGCUGGCUGGCAUUUGCUUGACUCUAGUUCUACCUUCCUCAGUAAAUAACAUCUUCCCACUCCAUCUUUUUUCCCACUCUUUACCUGUCCCACCUCCUUGGUUGCUUGGUGGCACCAAGGGUCACAGUGAGACUGUUUUGGGGGACCUGGCCUCAUAUGCCCCCUGCCUCCUCGUUCAGUUCUGAGAGGACAGUGCCUGCCACUUGGGUGUGCCUCCAGGAUGGUCCUUUUCUUUUAGACUUUGACUUGUUAAUCCUCCCUCAAUGCUCCUGCCAGAGUCUCAGUCCCACUGCCAGGACCCAGGCGCACUCUUCCCUCCCAUCUGUUCUGCAGAAGGGCAGAACUUUAGGAGUGCUAUGAAUAAUGGCAUUUUCCCUUGAUGAACUGUUGGCAGCACCGAUAGGGGUCCACACAGGCUAGAGCCAGUCCUGGUUUGAGUGUGAUCAUUAAAGGCGCAGGGCAGUGGAUGCUGGCUGUGAGGUCACUAAGGGACCAUAGUCCUGGGACUUGGUUUCUCACUGUUUGGGUGCAGCAGGAGGGAACAUGUGUUUUGGCAGCUUGCAGGGUGCUUUGGCAACAUUUUAAAAAUUAUUGCCCCCCUUUCCUGAUAAAUGUGCCCAAUUCCAGUUCCCCCUUCCCUCUUCCCUUCAUUGUUUUUCUUCUCUUUCCUGUUUCUUCCCACAUCCAUGGGUUUUCAAGUGGUCCUUUGGCAUCUCAAUUUCCUCUUCCGAAAAGCUUAGGAUUAUAGUAAUCCAUAGGGUGGUAAUACAAAUUAAGUGACAUAGCAUGUAUUUAAUAAAUUAGUUCCAUCUCCUUACGUUUUCUCAUUUUUUCCUCUUCCCGGUUGACUUC
ensembl:lncRNA